rnacentral:rRNA from 1 species
CGGGUGAGUAAUGUAUGGGGAUCUGCCUGAUGGCGGGGGAUAACUACUGGAAACGGUAGCUAAUACCGCAUAACGUCGCAAGACCAAAGAGGGGGACCUUCGGGCCUCUUGCCAUCGGAUGUGCCCAGAUGGGAUUAGCUAGUAGGUGGGGUAACGGCUCACCUAGGCGACGAUCCCUAGCUGGUCUGAGAGGAUGACCAGCCACACUGGAACUGAGACACGGUCCAG